rnacentral:rRNA from 1 species
UACGAAGGGUGCAAACGUUGCUCGGAAUCAUUGGGCGUAAAGCGCACGUAGGCGGCCCUGUAAGUCGGACGUGAAAUCCCACGGCUCAACCGUGGAAGUGCAUCCGAAACUGCGGGGCUCGAGUAUGGAAGAGGGUCGCAGAAUUCCCGGUGUAGAGGUGAAAUUCGUAGAUAUCGGGAGGAAUACCAGUGGCGAAGGCGGCGACCUGGGCCAAUACUGACGCUGAGGUGCGAAAGCGUGGGGAGCAAACAGG